GACGAACGCUGGCGGCGUGCUUAACACAUGCAAGUCGAACGGUAAGGCUCCAGCUUGCUGGGGUACACGAGUGGCGAACGGGUGAGUAACACGUGGGUGACCUGCCCUGCACUUCGGGAUAAGCCUGGGAAACUGGGUCUAAUACCGGAUAGGACCGCACCGUGAGGGUGUGGUGGAAAGUUUUUUCGGUGUGGGAUGGGCCCGCGGCCUAUCAGCUUGUUGGUGGGGUAAUGGCCUACCAAGGCGGCGACGGGUAGCCGGCCUGAGAGGGUGGACGGCCACAUUGGGACUGAGACACGGCCCAGACUCCUACGGGAGGCAGCAGUGGGGAAUAUUGCACAAUGGGCGGAAGCCUGAUGCAGCGACGCCGCGUGGGGGAUGACGGCCUUCCGGUUGUAAACUCCUUUCACCAUCGACGAAGGGUUUCUGACGGUAGAUGGAGAAGAAGCACCGGCUAACUACGUGCCAGCAGCCGCGGUAAUACGUAGGGUGCGAGCGUUGUCCGGAAUUACUGGGCGUAAGAGCUCGUAGGUGGUUUGUCGCGUCGUCUGUGAAAUUCCGGGGCUUAACUCCGGGCGUGCAGGCGAUACGGGCAUAACUUGAGUACUGUAGGGGAGACUGGAAUUCCUGGUGUAGCGGUGAAAUGCGCAGAUAUCAGGAGGAACACCGGUGGCGAAGGCGGGUCUCUGGGCAGUAACUGACGCUGAGGAGCGAAAGCAUGGGGAGCGAACAGGAUUAGAUACCCUGGUAGUCCAUGCCGUAAACGGUGGGCGCUAGGUGUGGGUUUCCUUCCACGGGAUCCGUGCCGUAGCUAACGCAUUAAGCGCCCCGCCUGGGGAGUACGGCCGCAAGGCUAAAACUCAAAGGAAUUGACGGGGGCCCGCACAAGCGGCGGAGCAUGUGGAUUAAUUCGAUGCAACGCGAAGAACCUUACCUGGGCUUGACAUAUACAGGAUCGCGCCAGAGAUGGUGUUUCCCUUGUGGCUUGUAUACAGGUGGUGCAUGGUUGUCGUCAGCUCGUGUCGUGAGAUGUUGGGUUAAGUCCCGCAACGAGCGCAACCCUUGUCUUAUGUUGCCAGCACGUUGUGGUGGGGACUCGUAAGAAACUGCCGGGGUUAACUCGGAGGAAGGUGGGGAUGACGUCAAAUCAUCAUGCCCCUUAUGUCCAGGGCUUCACACAUGCUACAAUGGUCGGUACAGUGGGUUGCCAGUCCGUGAGGGCGAGCUAAUCCCGCAAAGCCGGUCUCAGUUCGGAUCGGGGUCUGCAACUCGACCCCGUGAAGUCGGAGUCGCUAGUAAUCGCAGAUCAGCAACGCUGCGGUGAAUACGUUCCCGGGCCU
rnacentral:rRNA from 1 species